GUAGGUGAACCUGCGGAGGGAUCAUUCACAUGAUUUACUUUAAACAAACUGUGAACUUUAUAUACUAUUCGUGUAGAGAUAAUUUAUUUUCUUUUACACUGUCAUUCGAUGAACAUUAGAUAGCUGGCUCGUUUUUUUCAUUAAAAACUUUCUCAGCUGAUUUGUACUUGUUAGACUAAACAUCUAUUCAAUACAAUCAACCAAACAUAGAAACAACUCUAUGCCCUGGAUAUCUUGGUUCUC
rnacentral:misc_RNA from 1 species